UUGCUUCAGUAGCACAUGUAUUAAAAGGGGAAAAAUACAGAGAAGUUUACCAUUGACCUUGCUCAAAGAUAGCAUGCAAAUUAGUGAAUUGUUCCAACUAUGG